rnacentral:lncRNA from 9 species
UUUUACUUUAGGAGAGCUUAGCUCAAGAGUAGCCUUGAGCAAACCACCCAGCAGUGCUGAGCUCCUUGUUGCUUGGGCCUGUGGUAAGACUUCUGCCUAACUCAGUACAUCAGCUAAUAUGGUUAGUUUUUGAAGGGAGGCUCAUUUUCAGAACUGAAAUAUUAAAAGGUGAUGAUAUAAACCUAAAAUGAAAGUAGGAGCAAAUGUCCUCUUCCUUAUUUUACACAGAAGUAGACUCGAGCUGCUGCAAUCGUGGGGAUGUUUGAUAUUGCAACAAAGGAAGUGAAACAGAGAUAAAAGAGUCCUGUGCAAUGAGGAGCCAUUUUCAGGUUGUCCUCCAAUCUGAGGCUUAGAAUGAGAGGAUUACAGAAAACAGAAAUGGGGCAAUCCCCCAUCACUCAAUAUUGACUAUCUUCCUGAAUUAAAAAAAAAAAAAUUGGCUAAACUGUGGCGACACAGGAAUGAGAAGAACUCAUGGAGUAUCAUGGAGUUUAUCAUCCAACCAAUGAAGAGCAGAGAAAAAUAAACCAGAGCAAACUGGAAAACCAUUCCAAAGAGGACCUGGGCCCCAGACCUGCGGCAUCACGGAGCGGGAACAGGGGCAGGUGCAGGAGGCGGUGGAGGGGGGCUUCUCCCUUUCUGUCGCUAUAGAAUGAUGAUUUUUCACAGCCCACUCCUUCCUAGUGAGAAUAAUCUCCUAGUUAUACAGUUAGGGGUUUGAAUCCCAGCUCCACUUCUUACGUAGGCAGUUUAUAACUUCAACACUUUUCUUGAAAAAUAGGAGUAAUAGCUGCCUCUUAGGGUUGUUGACCUUAAACAUGUUACAUAUACAAAAUGUAUUGCAUAAAGUAGGAUUCAUAGGUGCUCAGUAAAGUUUGUGUCCCCUUAUUUAUUUAUUUAGCUUUAAAACUUUUUUUUUUUUUUUUUUUUUUUUUCUGGCUGUGCCCUUUGCAUGCAGAAAUUUCCAGGCCAGGGAUAGAACCUGCACCACAGCAGUGACCCAAGCUGCAGCAGUGACAAUGUCGGAUCCUUAACCCACCGCACCAUCAGGGAAGUCCCUGUGCCCCUUUAUUUCUAAUGGCCGAUUCCCCCUUUUAUUUCCUAUGUAGCCAUCUGUGGCAAGAAACUUCCUGCCCGACAUAAGCAUUCCUCAAUGCUGAGUAAAAUGGCUUUAAACUAUGCCCAGGAUGUUUUCGUAAAGUCCUUGAGGCAGAGGUAGGAAGAACUAUCCCCAACCUGAGGAGAAUAGUCAUGCUCUCAUGGCUAGUUCUAUAUCUGCAAGCCAUGCUCUCUUUCUCUUUCUUCUCUCUGCUGUAGCAAGAGAUUAAGAUCCUAGCUUUAAAAAUAAUUGUUACUCUCUUUGGGAUCAUUUAUAUACAGAAUAUAUGCAUGUGUAUGUAACAAUAAAAAAACCCUACCAGCAGAACUUCUGUUACCACUUUCUUCUUCUCUAUUUCUCUUAUUCUUGCCAAGCAUCUAUUGCAGAAUAUGGUGAAAUCUGUAUUUCUGUGUUGUAUGGCUCCCCUGUGAUUUACUUUUUUAUUAUUCUUUUUUUUUAGCCUCAAGUUUAAAGAGCUUUCUACAAUAUUCCUAAGGAUAUAAUACAUUUUGAUGAUAAAACCCUAUUCUGGAUAUUUAUAUUAACUUAUUAAUAUUUUUUAUCAUGGAGACUUAGCUUUCAGUUGCAACAUUUGUACUAACUUGUUGUAUAGAAAUGUC